rnacentral:rRNA from 1 species
AACGAACGCUGGCGGCGUGUUUAAGACAUGCAAGUCGAACGGAUCAAGGUGAGUAGUAAUACGAUCCUUGGUCAGUGGCGCACGGGUGCGUAACACGUGAGUUACAUGCCCUGUAGUGGGGAAUAGCCCGCCGAAAGGCGGAUUAAUACCCCAUGGUCCCGCAAGGGUAAAGGUGGCGCAAGCUGCCGCUACAGGAUUGG